rnacentral:rRNA from 1 species
UACGAAGGGGGCUAGCGUUGUUCGGAAUUACUGGGCGUAAAGCGCGCGUAGGCGGCUUUGUAAGUUAGAGGUGAAAGCCCGGGGCUCAACUCCGGAACUGCCUUUAAGACUGCAUCGCUUGAAUCCAGGAGAGGUGAGUGGAAUUCCGAGUGUAGAGGUGAAAUUCGUAGAUAUUCGGAAGAACACCAGUGGCGAAGGCGGCUCACUGGACUGGUAUUGACGCUGAGGUGCGAAAGCGUGGGGAGCAAACAGG